AGUGAACGCUGGCGGUAGGCCUAACACAUGCAAGUCGAACGGCAGCACAGGAGAGCUUGCUCUCUGGGUGGCGAGUGGCGGACGGGUGAGGAAUACAUCGGAAUCUACUCUGUCGUGGGGGAUAACGUAGGGAAACUUACGCUAAUACCGCAUACGACCUACGGGUGAAAGCAGGGGAUCUUCGGACCUUGCGCGAUUGAAUGAGCCGAUGUCGGUUUAGCUAGUUGGCGGGGUAAAGGCCCACCAAGGCGACGACCCGUAGCUGGUCUGAGAGGAUGAUCAGCCGCACUGGAACUGAGACACGGUCCAGACUCCUACGGGAGGCAGCAGUGGGGAAUAUUGGACAAUGGGCGCAAGCCUGAUCCAGCCAUACCGCGUGGGUGAAGAAGGCCUUCGGGUUGUAAAGCCCUUUUGUUGGGAAAGAAAUCCAGCUGGCUAAUACCCGGUUGGGAUGACGGUACCCAAAGAAUAAGCACCGGCUAACUUCGUGCCAGCCGCCGCCGUAA
rnacentral:rRNA from 1 species